rnacentral:rRNA from 1 species
GACGAACGCUGGCGGCGUGCUUAACACAUGCAAGUCGAGCGGAAAGGCCCUGCUUUUGUGGGGUGCUCGAGUGGCGAACGGGUGAGUAACACGUGAGUAACCUGCCCUUGACUUUGGGAUAACUUCAGGAAACUGGGGCUAAUACCGGAUAGGAGCUCCUGCUGCAUGGUGGGGGUUGGAAAGUUUCGGCGGUUGGGGAUGGACUCGCGGCUUAUCAGCUUGUUGGUGGGGUAGUGGCUUACCGAGGCUUUGACGGGUAGCCGGCCUGAGAGGGUGACCGGCCACAUUGGGACUGAGUUACGGCCCAGACUCCUACGGGAGGCAGCAGUGGGGAAUAUUGCACAAUGGGCGGAAGCCUGAUGCAGCAACGCCGCGUGCGGGAUGACGGCCUUCGGGUUGUAAACCGCUUUCGCCUGUGACGAAGCGUGAGUGACGGUAAUGGGUAAAGAAGCACCGGCUAACUACGUG